UUUUAUGUCUGUCCUUGUCCUUUCUUGAUGUUUUCUGUGCCCAUUCUUCUUUCUGGCUGAAGAACUUUUCUUUAGGUUCUGGAUCACGGUAAGGCAGUAACAGAUUGUUGUUAAUUAUGUGUUCUUUGUAUCUGCCUUGGAGAGAUCCAUACAUGUUCUGUAUGAAGUCAGCAGGACGCAGGUACUUCUUCUUUUUAAGGAUGCUGUGUUUAACAAUCCAAAACCACUGUUCCACAUGACAGUUACUUUCCCUUGUUUUGGAUUGUUGGCUGACUGUAGCUGUGCUGAUUUCAGAAAACCGGCUAAGAUCCCCAAGAAGAACUCCACUCCACAGCGGGAAGAUACUCAUGUAGUUGUUCAUGAGGAAGUCGAUGAGCUCUGGACAGAAAAAGAUCCAGGGCAGUUUUGGCUGCAUUCACCACGUCGGUCUCCUCUUCUGAUGUGAAAAGAACAGCCAUAUCUUCAAAUACAGCUGUUGCCUCUUCUAGAUGUGUGCUGUUUAACAACAAGGCAAAGCAAAGGACACUUGAAAUUAGUCCCCAACUGAAGUCCGUCUCCACUUGAUGGACAUGGCAUGAUGUUAUUUGACCAAGAGCCCUUAAUGUUUCCAUCAGCCUGGUAUUGGUGCUGAUGUGUUUCUGGACUUGUGAUGGCUGUGGCAGGUCUUUAGGUGGGUCAAAGUAUUAGGUCUUAUGUUUGUCCUGUUUUCUUGCCCAAGCCCAUUCUUCUUUCUGGCUUUUCUUUAGGUUCUGGAUCACGGUAAGGCAGUAACAGAUUGUGGUUAAGUGUUUAAUAUGCCUCGGUGGGAUCCAUACAUAUUCUGUAUGAAGUCAACAGGACACAGGUGUGGAGGCUGGUGGCCCUUUCCAAAACUGCAGUAAUUGUUGAUGUAAUGGUGAUCAGCUUGAUGUACCUGGCAUGAUUGUCAUUUGGACAAGGGUCAAAGUGUGAACCACCUCAGGAAGGGAUGGGGGUUUUAUUGUUAUUAGCAUUGAUGUCAACACGAGCCAACAGCCACAUUUUAAUUGGUGGACAUGAAUUUGAUUUUAAAUAAG